rnacentral:rRNA from 1 species
CCUGGCUCAGAUUGAACGCUGGCGGCAGGCCUAACACAUGCAAGUCGAGCGGAAACGGCAGCAUUGAAGCUUCGGUGGAUUUGCUGGACGUCGAGCGGCGGACGGGUGAGUAACGGCUGGGAACCUGCCCUGACGCGGGGGAUAACCGCUGGAAACGACGGCUAAUACCGCAUAAUGUCUUAGUUCAUUACGAGCUGGGACCAAAGGUGGCCUCUACAUGUAAGCUAUCGCGUUGGGAUGGGCCCAGUUAGGAUUAGCUAGUUGGUAAGGUAAUGGCUUACCAAGGCGACGAUCCUUAGCUGGUUUGAGAGGAUGAUCAGCCACACUGGGACUGAGACACGGCCCAGACUCCUACGGGAGGCAGCAGUGGGGAAUAUUGCACAAUGGGGGAGACCCUGAUGCAGCCAUGCCGCGUGUGUGAAGAAGGCCUUCGGGUUGUAAAGCACUUUCAGCAGUGAGGAAGGUGGUGUACUUAAUAAGUGCAUGGCUUGACGUUAGCUGCAGAAGAAGCACCGGCUAACUCCGUGCCAGCAGCCGCGGUAAUACGGAGGGUGCGAGCGUUAAUCGGAAUUACUGGGCGUAAAGCGCAUGCAGGCGGUUUGUUAAGUCAGAUGUGAAAGCCCGGGGCUCAACCUCGGAACCGCAUUUGAAACUGGCAGGCUAGAGUCUUGUAGAGGGGGGUAGAAUUUCAGGUGUAGCGGUGAAAUG